GCAAAACUAGCUUAAUUAAAAAGCACUGAUUUUGUAAGUCGGAGAUAUUAUAAAUGUUUUGUUU
rnacentral:tRNA from 1 species